GGGUGUUGCGAGGUGAUGAUGAAUGUAUGAAUGUCUGUCAAUCCCCUGAUGUCACAAAGUGAUGACUCCUCAUACAUCCCGACAGGCUCUGAUCGCAAACCC
rnacentral:snoRNA from 1 species